rnacentral:rRNA from 1 species
CAAUCGCUUGUCUUUUAAAUAAGGACCUGUAUGAAUGGCAUAACGAGGGCUUAACUGUCUCCCCCUUUUAAUCAAUGAAAUUGAUCCCCCCGUGCAGAAGCGGGGAUACCCCUAUAAGACGAGAAGACCCUGUGGAGCUUUAAACACGCGAAAGGGAAUAUAUUUCAUUUAACCUUUAAACGGAAAAACUACACACCCCCUUUUGCUGUUUUUGGUUGGGGCGACCACGGGGGAAUACCCAGCCCCCACGCGGAAUAAAAGCACCCACUUUUAAAAUUAUUGAACCUCAAUUCUAUAACACAGAACAUCUGACCAUAAGAUCCGGCUACUGCCGAUCAACGAACCGAGUUACCCCAGGGAUAACAGCGCAAUCCCCUUUCAGAGUCCC